UGGGGAAUAUUGCACAAUGGGCGCAAGCCUGAUGCAGCCAUGCCGCGUGUAUGAAGAAGGCCUUCGGGUUGUAAAGUACUUUCAGCGGGGAGGAAGGGAGUAAAGUUAAUACCUUUGCUCAUUGACGUAACCCGCAGAAGAAGCACCGGCUAACUCCGUGCCAGCAGCCGCGGUAAUACGGAGGGUGCAAGCGUUAAUCGGAAUUACUGGGCGUAAAGCGCACGCAGGCGGUUUGUUAAGUCAGAUGUGAAAUCCCCGGGCUAAACCUGCGAACUGCAUGUGAUACUGGCAAGCAUGAGUCUCGUAGAGGGGGGUAGAAUGCCAGGUGUAGCGGUGAAAUGCGUAGAGAUCUGGAGGAAUAACGGUGGCGAAGGCAGCCCCCUGGACGAAGACUGACGGUCAGGUGCGAAAGCGUGGGGAGCAAACAGG
rnacentral:rRNA from 1 species